rnacentral:lncRNA from 1 species
AUGAGUGUUGGAAUUUGUGGGUACGGAGAGACAACAUUUGGACUCUCAGAAAAAAGCUGUAAACUGGGGAACAGGCUGAGGCCCUUUGUGAAGAGAUGGGUUAAAACCAGUGAAGCAGGAGCUAUUCCAGUGUCCAGUGUCCUCAGCUCAUUCUCCCGUGGUGAUGCUGCCAGAGAGCAGAGACCAGCCAUCAGAAGCACAUUAAUUCUGGUCUUUUCUUGUAUCUCUCAAAUAGUGCCCAAAAAAAAGAGACACUGUUUGCACCCCCGGGCUCACUGGUUCAGUCUUUCUCCUUCUUCCCCGGCUUCUCACCACUCCUCAUGCACUUUUCCAUGCACCCCUGAACAUGGGCACUGGAUGAAGCCAAAAUCUGGAAAAGCCAAAAGAACUCAGCAGGAAACCAGUAGACAGAUUCUCUGGUCGGUGGAAGCCCUGCCUCUACCUGCAAUAGGAAACUGAGCCGAGAGACGGUCCCCUUACGGCCUCUAACCUGCGCAUCUCAGGCACGAG